UACGGAGGGGGCUAGCGUUGUUCGGAAUUACUGGGCGUAAAGCGCACGUAGGCGGCUUUGUAAGUUAGAGGUGAAAGCCCGGGGCUCAACUCCGGAAUUGCCUUUAAGACUGCAUCGCUUGAAUCCAGGAGAGGUGAGUGGAAUUCCGAGUGUAGAGGUGAAAUUCGUAGAUAUUCGGAAGAACACCAGUGGCGAAGGCGGCUCACUGGCCUGGUAUUGACGCUGAGGUGCGAAAGCGUGGGGAGCAAACAGG
rnacentral:rRNA from 1 species